CCCCUCCUCUCUCUCUCUCUCUCUAUAUAUAUAUAUAUAUAUAUAUAUAUAUAUUUCUUAUCUGUUUUUUUGUUAUUUUAUUUGAUAUUUCUUUUGCUCCAUUCCAUUUCCUUUUCCUUCUUCUCCACAUGAUUCUUUUCCCUCUCACUCUCUCUUUCUCUAGGAUCCUUUUUCCCUCUUACAAUAGGAGCUCUUAAAUUCUACCAGCAACUUCUUCCCUCUCCCGGUGACCUUUCUUUCUCAUCUUCGCGGCUUCGGUUAUCUACAGAACUUAUUAGUAGGGCAAACGGUGAUCGGAACCUAUGCCAUGUCAACACAACCCCUUUUUGCAAUCUUCCCUCAAACCUAUCCUCACUCACGUUACGUGUUCUUAGGGAAGAUAACAAACCAACCACAGCAGCCCUUUUUUGGCAUGUUUGGAUAUGGAGGACCUAUUGCAUCUAUGCAUUUAGGCAUGCUCUUGUUUCUUCGAAGACAAAGAAUUCCAAGAAGAAUGCUUGAUGCAAUGUCUUGAAGUAACACAUCAGAAUAUAUUUUUCUAGUUGAGUUGUUGAAGAACUUUUUAUUUUUCCUUUUUUACUUAAUCAUGCUUUCCUAUUGUCUAAUAAUAUUAAUUUUAAAAGUCAAGAUGUUCAUCCUUUUUGUUGAUUGAUAAUUUAAGUUUCUUCCAAUGAGUUAUGGGUGCAUUACACUUGAUGUGAUUAAAAAUAACCUCAAUACGUUGUCUUCUAAGGUUCCUACACGAGCUACUAUAAUUGGCUACUGCACAAAAUAUCAUAUGCAUCACUAAGGUAUAUAUUCAUACAUAGGCAUAACAACAUUAUUAUUUUUGUGAAAUGAUACUCUUUUAAGUUCUUUUUCUUUCUGUCCCCCAAAUUCAUAUUUAUCUGUAUAAUCUUGUCUACUUUUAAAUAAAUAGAUUUGACAUUAGCAGGAAGGUUGAGUGAAAUCGUUUAAUGAGUACAUAGAAGAAGGAAUUAAGCAGAUAACCUUGAAGAACUAUGAAAGAAAAUUUAUGUUGUUGUAUGUGCUGAUCCCACAUUGAAGAAAUCUGAUAAGGAACCACCCAAGGGUACUAUAAACAUUUAUGGUACAUUUCCCUGUCACCUUUUUGUUUAAAAAUUCAAAAUCCACCACUUAUUGGUGGAACAUUUUCUCAAGACUUUACAAUUUUUUAUUCCUAUUUCAAUUUUUGGUUGCAAACCCCAUUUUAGGUCAUUUCCUUGUUUUUUUUUUUUUUUUCUUUUUAUUGUGAGCAAAGACUAAAAGAACCAUAAUAAUGGUAGUGAACAUAGAAAUGAUAAAAAUAAACAAUAAGCAUCCCACUUACUAUUUCAUUCUUGUUAAAACUACAUGUUUUCUUAAAGCUUAAAUUUUUUAUGUUGAUAAUUAUUUAAUGUUAACUGGUCUUAUGUUUGAAUGUGCUUAACCUUAUAUAAUACUGUCUAGCAAAGAAAAUAUUUAGUUUAAAUGCUAAGCCAAUAUCUACAUAUGUAAUUUUGUCUAACAUAUAUGUUGUAUUUGGGAAGUGGAGUGAGAAAAUGGGAGUGAGGAAAGUUGAAGCUAAAAAAGUUGAAGCUUUGAAAUUUGGCUUCUCAUUCUAAAGGGGAACUAGAGAAGUAAUAGAACUCGACUACAAAAACUAUUGUCAAAUAUUUGUUAGGCUGCUGAGUGUUUGCACUGAUGCCUUUUAAUGUUUUCUCCAAAAUAGUUUUGUCCUACAAACAAUUGGAAUUCUGAAGUUGUUGUUAAUUAGAUUUUCUAUUUCUAUUCUUCAAGUUUUUGAGUCCACUUUCAGCUGUUCCUUUGGUAGUUUUAGUUGGAUUUGGGCUCUAUGGGUUAAGUUUUCCUAGGGUAAGUGUUAUUCUGCAGCAUUAAUCAUGGUUUACGAAGUGAAUUGUUUAGCGAUAUUGUUUUCAGUGCCUUUCUUUGAGUUCUAUGAAUGAAUUUUUCGAUUUAAAGUAUUUGCUUUCAUACCGCUUCAUAAGACUUAAUAUCCAAUGUAAAUGCACUUUGUUUUUCCUUUUCUUUUUUUGUAUCAGCAUGCAUUUUUCUUUCUAUUUUCAUUUAUAUUAUUAUUAUUACUUUAAUAUCUUAUAUUCAAGUAAAUUAUUCUUGUGUCAAAGAGAUACUUCACAAAAAUUGUUCUCCGUUUUCUUUGUUGAUAUUUUUUGUAUUCAUCCCCUUCUAAUUUAGUCAUUUCUCAUACAUGUUUAUUGAUUUAAACAGUCCAUUGGGGCUUUCAUUUAUUGAUUUAACUCAAACUCCAAUUAUGAUGUUGUGGAAUCAUUUCCCUCUGCACUUCAUGUUAAAAGAUGCAACGAUAGGUUAAUGUAUGAUAAUAAUAGAAAACUAUGGGAGCUGCGUAAGGAAGACAUUUUAUGUGAGUUCCUCAGUUUUGCUGCGGAUCAAUUAUCCUUUUUGGAAGUUAGCCACCACUAUAUUAUCUAUUGUAUUGACAAAUACACACACAUUAAGGGGAAAAAAACCAAGAAAAGAUAUUACAAAACAGGCAAAAUCACAAUGAAUGUAAAAUAAGGUGUUCAUAUGAAAAAACAAGUAAACCAAUUGAAAUUGCACAUAUAGAUAUCAACAUUUACACGCACUUCAAAAUUUAGAUGUUGCUUUUCCUCAUUUCAUCAUUAGCCAGACUAAAAAAUUUAGAUGUUCUGAAUUUUAGAGGUCUAUUUGGUUCCUAUAUUAGUCAAAGUAGUGCAAUAGUAUUAUUACCUAUAUUCUUCUUGUUCAGUUCAUAUUUGCUGACCUUUAAAUUAAGGUCAACAUUGAGUUCCUUUCAUUGUUGCAUAUUUGUACAUUCUACACACAGGGAGUUGGCAUUCUGAUCUCUGACUUGGUUGGAACUAUUAAUGGAUCCUCAUUAUCUGUGUAACAAUGUUCAAAUUAAUAUCUAUGCUUUAGCUUUCUACUUUAUUUUACUGAACCAUAGAAUUUCCACCUUUAUCUAAGAACCUUUUUUCUCCUGAGCACUUAAUAACUAGUUUUUAGGAUUUUAUAAAUUAAGCAAUUUAUUUGUCACAUGUUCUAAAACAUUGUUAAUUUUAAAGAAAUGCUCAAUACUCCCUGCUAUUUGUUAUGUGGGAUGAACUUUUUUCUCUUUAGGUGAAAGGAACUGGUAGAAGAUUAUUCACUCAAUUGUAUUUGUGUUGUCAGCAUAUUAUGAUAUGAUGAAGCUCUUUCACUUUAUGUUUCUAUUCAAAAUUUUAAGGAGCACAAGGACCACAACUAUUGUGGUUUGGAUUAUUGGUAGGUCCAUGGUAGGAGCCGCAUUUGAUGAUUAUUAUCUUCUUAGGGACAUAUUAAAUGUUUUAUAUGAGAAGUCUACUUGCUAUUGAUCUAUUGUGAUAUCUAAAUAUCCACAGUUAUAGUCUUUAGUAAACUUUUAAUGCUUUUAUUAUGUGAUUACUGUAUUUAACAUUAUAUUGGUUUUGUUAUAAUUUAGCAGUUUUUUU